AAAUACAAUUCAUCCAUUAUCUCUCAUAUUCUGAGACAAAAAAUUGAAAUCACUUUCAUAGUUUCUCAAACCCUAAUUGCAACUAUCACUUUUCAUCAUCUAUCCCCGAACCUCGUUCAGCUUCGAGAAACCAUGGCUAAAUCGAAGUCGAAGAAGAAAGGGAACCUCAAUAGUCAACCUUCUUCACCGCAGAUCGACAACAGAGGUUUAUAUUUUGAAUUCUUUAAUCUUUUUGACUUUAAACAGUUCUCGAAAUCCCUAACUUUUUAUGUUUUUCUUGUUUGUGUUGUAAUUUUCCAAUUGGAUCGAAUCUCUGAGAUUUUGUGGAUGGGAGAGAGAAUGAAGAGAUCCGAGAGCUCCAGUGUGGAGAGGGCAACGUGACGGCGAGCAUGUCCAAGCUCCGUUGUGGAGAGGAUGACAGGACGGCCAGCAGAUCUGAGCUCCGGUGCGGAGAUGACGCGGCGACGAACAGGUCAUGCCUCUAUUAUGGAAAAGAAGACGACAAGCUGUCGUGGUGUGAAGAUGGAUUUUUGGGCCAAACUUGACAUGACAACAGCAAGAAUCCAUGGAUGAUGCAGCAAGAUAUUUUGACUACAUGACCACAUCAAGAGUCUAUGACGUAGGCCACAAACAACAACGUCCUAAACAUCAAUCUUGUUCUCAUCCAUUAAGAGUCUAUGGAUGAUGCAGCUCAACACCUAUCCAGACUCCAAAACGUGGUUUAUCUACUUUCACUUGGUCUUGUAUUUCAUAACUAUGUCAACAUAUGUAAUUACUAUAGACCAAACUUAGGGAAAGUAUGGAUGUUAACGUUUUAGCGUAUGUGUCCAGUUUUGAUGACCAUGUCCACAUAUAGUUUAUAACUCUAUUAUCCAAGUGUCCAUAUCCAAAUUUUUAUAGAUGAUUGAGAAUAUAAGAACGUUGUCAACGAAAA